ACGCAGUGAACUGAAACAUCUAAGUAGCUGCAGGAAGAGAAAGCAAAAGCGAUUGCCUUAGUAGCGGCGAGCGAAACGGCAGGAGGGCAAACCGAAGAGGUUACUCUUCGGGGUUGUAGGACUGCAAUGUGGACUCAAAGAUUAUAGAAGAAUGAUUUGGGAAGAUCAGCCAAAGAGAGUAAUAGCCUCGUAUUUAAAAUAGUCUUUGUACUUAGCAGUAUCCUGAGUACGGCGGGACACGUGAAAUCCCGUCGGAAUCUGGGAGGACCAUCUCCCAACCCUAAAUACUCCCUAGUGACCGAUAGUGAACCAGUACCGUGAGGGAAAGGUGAAAAGCACCCCGGGAGGGGAGUGAAAUAGAACCUGAAACCGUGUGCCUACAACAAGUUCGAGCCCGUUAAUGGGUGAGAGCGUGCCUUUUGUAGAAUGAACCGGCGAGUUACGUUAUGAUGCGAGGUUAAGUUGAAGAGACGGAGCCGUAGGGAAACCGAGUCUGAAUAGGGCGCCUUAGUAUCAUGACGUAGACCCGAAACCAUGUGACCUACCCAUGAGCAGGUUGAAGGUGCGGUAAGACGCACUGGAGGACCGAACCAGGGCACGUUGAAAAGUGCUUGGAUGACUUGUGGGUAGCGGAGAAAUUCCAAACGAACUUGGAGAUAGCUGGUUCUCUCCGAAAUAGCUUUAGGGCUAGCGUCGACAUUAGAGAUUCUUGGAGGUAGAGCACUGUUUGGGUGAGGGGUCCAUCCCGGAUUACCAAUCUCAGAUAAACUCCGAAUGCCAAUGAAUUAUGGUCGGCAGUCAGACUGCGAGUGCUAAGAUCCGUAGUCGAAAGGGAAACAGCCCAGACCACCAGCUAAGGUCCCAAAAUAAUUGUUAAGUGGAAAAGGAUGUGGGGUUGCACAGACAACUAGGAUGUUAGCUUAGAAGCAGCUAUUCAUUCAAAGAGUGCGUAAUAGCUCACUAGUCGAGUGACCCUGCGCCGAAAAUGUACCGGGGCUAAAACAAUUUACCGAAGCUGUGGAUACCUUUAUAGGUAUGGUAGGAGAGCGUUCUAUGUGUGAUGAAGGUAUACCGUGAGGAGUGCUGGAACGCAUAGAAGUGAGAAUGCCGGUAUGAGUAGCGAAAGACAGGUGAGAAUCCUGUCCACCGUAAGACUAAGGUUUCCAGGGGAAGGCUCGUCCGCCCUGGGUUAGUCGGGACCUAAGGAGAGACCGAAAGGUGUAUCCGAUGGACAACAGGUUGAUAUUCCUGUACUAGAGUAUGUAGUGAUGGAGGGACGCAGUAGGCUAACUAAAGCAGACGAUUGGAAGAGUCUGUCUAAGCAGUGAGGUGUGAAUUGAGUCAAAUGCUUAAUUCUAUAACAUUGAGCUGUGAUGGGGAGCGAAGUUUAGUAGCGAAGUUAGUGACGUCACACUGCCAAGAAAAGCUUCUAGCGUUUAAACAUACUCUACCCGUACCGCAAACCGACACAGGUAGUCGAGGCGAGUAGCCUCAGGUGAGCGAGAGAACUCUCGUUAAGGAACUCGGCAAAAUGACCCCGUAACUUCGGGAGAAGGGGUGCUGACUUUAAGUCAGCCGCAGUGAAUAGGCCCAAGCAACUGUUUAUCAAAAACACAGCUCUCUGCUAAAUCGUAAGAUGAUGUAUAGGGGGUGACGCCUGCCCGGUGCUGGAAGGUUAAGAGGAGUGCUUAGCGUAAGCGAAGGUAUGAAUUGAAGCCCCAGUAAACGGCGGCCGUAACUAUAACGGUCCUAAGGUAGCGAAAUUCCUUGUCGGGUAAGUUCCGACCCGCACGAAAGGCGUAAUGAUUUGGGCACUGUCUCAACGAGAGACUCGGUGAAAUUUUAGUACCUGUGAAGAUGCAGGUUACCCGCGACAGGACGGAAAGACCCCAUGGAGCUUUACUGCAGUUUGAUAUUGAGUGUCUGUACCACAUGUACAGGAUAGGUAGGAGUCUAAGAGAUCGGGACGCCAGUUUCGAAGGAGACGCUGUUGGGAUACUACCCUUGUGUUAUGGCCACUCUAACCCAGAUAGGUGAUCCCUAUCGGAGACAGUGUCUGACGGGCAGUUUGACUGGGGCGGUCGCCUCCUAAAAGGUAACGGAGGCGCCCAAAGGUUCCCUCAGAAUGGUUGGAAAUCAUUCGCAGAGUGUAAAGGUAUAAGGGAGCUUGACUGCGAGAGCUACAACUCGAGCAGGGACGAAAGUCGGGCUUAGUGAUCCGGUGGUUCCGUAUGGAAGGGCCAUCGCUCAACGGAUAAAAGCUACCCUGGGGAUAACAGGCUUAUCUCCCCCAAGAGUUCACAUCGACGGGGAGGUUUGGCACCUCGAUGUCGGCUCGUCGCAUCCUGGGGCUGUAGUCGGUCCCAAGGGUUGGGCUGUUCGCCCAUUAAAGCGGCACGCGAGCUGGGUUCAGAACGUCGUGAGACAGUUCGGUCCCUAUCCGUCGCGGGCGUAGGAAAUUUGAGAGGAUCUGCUCCUAGUACGAGAGGACCAGAGUGGACUUACCGCUGGUGUACCAGUUGUCUUGCCAAAGGCAUCGCUGGGUAGCUAUGUAGGGAAGGGAUAAACGCUGAAAGCAUCUAAGUGUGAAACCCACCUCAAGAUGAGAUUUCCCAUGAUUAUAUAUCAGUAAGAGCCCUGAGAGAUGAUCAGGUAGAUAGGUUAGAAGUGGAAGUGUGGCGACACAUGUAGCGGACUAAUACUAAUAGCUCGAGGACUUAUCCAA
rnacentral:rRNA from 1 species